AACGAACGCUGGCGGCAUGCCUAACACAUGCAAGUCGAACGAGACCUUCGGGUCUAGUGGCGCACGGGUGCGUAACGCGUGGGAACCUGCCCUUAGGUUCGGAAUAACUCCCCGAAAGGGGUGCUAAUACCGGAUAAUGUCUUCGGACCAAAGAUUUAUCGCCUUUGGAUGGGCCCGCGUUGGAUUAGCUGGUUGGUAGGGUAAAAGCCUACCAAGGCGACGAUCCAUAGCUGGUCUGAGAGGAAGAUCAGCCACACUGGGACUGGGACGCGGCCCAGACUCCUACGGGAGGCAGCAGUGGGGAAUAUUGGACAAUGGGCGAAGGCCUGAUCCAGCUAUGCCGCGUGAGUGAUGAAGGCCUUAGAGUUGUAAAGCUCUUUUACCCGGGAUGAUAAUGACGGUACCGGGAGAAUAAGCUCCGGCUAACUCCGUG
rnacentral:rRNA from 1 species